UACAGAGGUCUCAAGCGUUGUUCGGAUUCAUUGGGCGUAAAGGGUGCGUAGGCGGCGCGGUAAGUCGGAUGUGAAAUCUCGGAGCUUAACUUCGAAACUGCAUUCGAUACUGCCGUGCUUGAGGACUGGAGAGGAGACUGGAAUUUACGGUGUAGCGGUGAAAUGCGUAGAUAUCGUAAGGAAGACCAGUGGCGAAGGCGGGUCUCUGGACAGUUCCUGACGCUGAGGAGCGAAAGCCAGGGGAGCAAACGGG
rnacentral:rRNA from 1 species